GGUUAAGCGACUAAGCGUACACGGUGGAUGCCCUGGCAGUCAGAGGCGAUGAAGGACGUGCUAAUCUGCGAAAAGCGUCGGUAAGGUGAUAUGAACCGUUAUAACCGGCGAUGUCCGAAUGGGGAAACCCAGUGCAAUUCGUUGCACUAUCGUUAACUGAAUACAUAGGUUAACGAGGCGAACCGGGGGAACUGAAACAUCUAAGUACCCCGAGGAAAAGAAAUCAACCGAGAUUCCCCCAGUAGCGGCGAGCGAACGGGGAGCAGCCCAGAGUCUGAAUCAGCUUGUGUGUUAGUGGAACGGUCUGGAAAGUCCGACGGUACAGGGUGAUAGUCCCGUACACCAAAAUGCACAGGCUGUGAACUCGAAGAGUAGGGCGGGACACGUGGUAUCCUGUCUGAAUAUGGGGGGACCAUCCUCCAAGGCUAAAUACUCCUGACUGACCGAUAGUGAACCAGUACCGUGAGGGAAAGGCGAAAAGAACCCCGGCGAGGGGAGUGAAAAAGAACCUGAAACCGUGUACGUACAAGCAGUGGGAGCACCUUCGGGUGUGACU
rnacentral:rRNA from 1 species